rnacentral:rRNA from 1 species
UACGUAGGGUGCGAGCGUUGUCCGGAAUCACUGGGCGUAAAGGGCGCGUAGGCGGCGCGGGCAGUCAACGGUGAAAGCUCGGAGCUCAACUCCGAGUCGGCCGUCGAUACUCCCGUGCUUGAGCACUGUAGAGGCAGGUGGAAUUCCGGGUGUAGCGGUGGAAUGCGUAGAGAGUCCGGAAGAACACCGGUGGCGAAGGCGGCCUGCUGGGCAGUAGCUGACACUGAGGCGCGACAGCGUGGGGAGCAAACAGG